UACCAGCACCCCGAGUGGUCGGGACGAUUAUUGGGCCUAAAGCAUCCGUAGCCGGUUUUACAAGUCCCCCGUUAAAUCCAGCUGCUUAACAGAUGGGCUGCGGAGGAUACUAUAAGACUAGGAGGCAGGAGAGGCAAGCGGUACUCAGUGGGUAGGGGUAAAAUCCGUUGAUCCAUUGAAGACCACCAGUGGCGAAGGCGGCUUGCCAGAAUGCGCUCGACGGUGAGGGAUGAAAGCUGGGGGAGCAGACCGG
rnacentral:rRNA from 1 species